AGGUCACAAGCCCCAUGGGAGGCCAGAGGCAAUAUUUGGAGGGAUUUUAACAGCGACCCACGAAAGGAAACUUAGGAACACAGGGCAUAGGGUGUGCAUUUUCAGUGCUGCCCUCACUCCAUCUUCUUGCCUUGAAGUCACUGCUGCAAAUACCCUGUUGUCCCAAGACAGAUCUAAUUGUAGCUAAAGCUUUGUAUUCCUCCUGCUCUGCUCUAACACCCAUGAAUUUCCUGGGGCUGUGGCCCUCACCGAUGAUGCUCUCUGCCAUGGCCUGGGAAAGCAGUAGAAGAUGGCCCAGGCCCUUGGGCCCCUGCACCUGCGUGGGAGACCCAGAAGAAGCUAUAGGCUCUCAGCUUCAGAUUGGCCCAGUUCUAUCCAUUGCAGCCAUUUGGGGAGUGAACCAGUGGAUGGAAGACCUCUCUCUCUCUCCCUCUCUCUGUCUGUAACUCUGCCUCUCAAGUAAAUAAAUAAAUCUUUAAAACAGGUUUUAUUUUUGCAGUAAAUUUUAUUUUAUUUAAUUU